rnacentral:lncRNA from 1 species
UGACUCCUUAUACUCUGUGCAGAGUUCAUUCUGGUGAUUCCCACUUUCUAGCUACUUCAGUUCUGAUAAAUGGAAGACCAUCGUAUAAGUGGAGGACUCAUGUUACAGACAUAUGUUAGCAGAGACAUAUUUGGACCCAACCUAUAUACUUUUUCUCUAUAAAGCAUUCAAAGAACAAUGUGACGAUUACAGUUGUGUGGGAUUUCACCCUUCCUUAACUAUAAAAAGAAGACUUCUUGGGCCAGGCCGGUGGCUCACGCCUGUAGUCCCAGCACUUUGGGAAGCCGAGGCGGAUGGAUCACGAGGUCAGGAGAUCGAGACCAGACUGGCCAACAUGGUGAAACCCCGUCUCUAACAAAAAUAGAAAAAUCAGCUGGGCAUGGUGGUGCAUGCCUGUAGUCCCAGCUACUUGGGAAGCUGAGGCAGGAGAAUUGCUUGAACCUGGGAGGUGGAGGUUGCAGUAAACCGAGAUCGUGCCACUGCACUCCAGCCUGGUGACAGAGCAAGAGUCCGUCUGAAAAAAAAAAAAGACUUCUUAAUAAAAAACAGGCAUACCUCAUUUUACUGCACUUCACUUUUUUUGUGCUUCACAGAUAUUGCUUUUUUUUUUUUUUUUUUUUUUUUUUACAAAUGGAAGGUUUGUGUGGUAACCCUUCAUUCAGCAAGUCCAUUGGUGCCAUUUAUCCAAGAGCAUGUGCUCACCUUGCGUCUCUAUGUUACAUUUUGGUAAUUCUUACAAUAUUUAAAAAUUUUCACUAUGAUUAUAUCUGUGAUGGUGGUCUGUGAUCAGUGAUCUUUGAUGUUCCUAUUGUAAUUGUUUUAGGGCACCACCAACUGCAUUCAUAUAGGACGGUGCACUUAAUUGGUAAAUACUGUGUGUAUUCUAACUGCUCCACCAAUCAGGUGUUGCCUCAUCUUUCUCCUGCUCCUUGGACUCUCAAUUCCCUCAGACACAACAGUGUUGAAAUUAGACCAAUUAAUAUCCCUACAAUGGCCUCUAAGUGUUGAAGUGAAAGAAAGAGUUUCAUGUUUCUCACUUUAAAUAAAAAGCUAGAUAUGAUUAAGCUUAGUGAGUGUAUUAGUCUGUUCUCAUGUUGCUAAUAGAGACAUACCUGAGACUGGGUAAUUUAUAAAGAAAAGAGGUUUAAUGGACUCACCACUCCACAU